UUCGCCGGCUUUAUUAAAGUUCAGCAACCACAAACGUCGAUUAGUCUGAUAUCAGAAACCGAAGCCCAUAUCGACAACCGGUCAAUGGAAUGCAACGUGUACAAAGUGGAAGCAAUCAUGGAAUCUUUCGUGUUAGCUAGCGGACUACCAGAAAGAAUUGGUAAAGAUCAUAUUGAAAGGAUUGCAACGUUUGCAGUAAGACUGCUGGAAUGCCAUCGACAGUUGACCUUUCUGCUAGAUUUGCAGAUCAAAAUCGGUAUUCAUUCUGCCCAAGCCUUUAUGUCCACAUCAUACUCGGCGAAUAUGCCAAAAGAUGCUGGCCGUCCAGAUGAUUAUGGAGACAAUAACGGUUAUGGAGACAAUAAUGGCUAUGGCAACAACGGGUACGGCACUAACGGUGGCCAUGGUAAUGAUGGAAAUGCAUACGGGAACACUGCUUAUGGACGCAAUAUGAACGCUGGUGGAGAUCAUGUCGAAGAUCCCAGACAGAUUAUGGCCGGAUUCCGUGGUCCCAGUAUGAACGUUGGCUUAUUUUAGGUUCGGGGACACCGUUAACGUAGCUGCCCAGCCACAUUCACCUCAGUCCAGAGAGCCAACUCCUCCUGGAGCAAUUCAAACAAUUCUCUGUUGAGCCAAGAGGACGCCUAGCAACAAAGGGAAAAUAUGAGAUGACCACAUACUGGCUCUUGCCGGCGUUACAUCGCUAACUUUUACGUACCUUUUGGAUUGCCAUGUGUUGGCCGGUCAUAUUACUAUCUACCGCAUGUUAUCUAUUUACGUUGAAUCUAUUUCACAUGGCAACUUCCACCGUUUUUGCGGCAUUUAAGAUUAUUUGCAAUACUCGUAUGCGCUCAGAUUAUUGCUUGCACUUGCCGUUUAAAUUGGUCAAAAUUUCUUUCAAGGAAAUUAAGGUGUCUUUUUAAGGAAACUCAACGUCAUUUCACCUGUCAGCUGUUUUAUGUUCUUAAGAUUGUCUAUCUUGGAUCUUUUGAAACUGUACAUAUUUGACGCACACUUUCCCAAAAAGGGCUUU